UGUUCCAUAGUAUAGUGAUUAGCACGUCUGCUUUACACACAGAGAUCCUGGGUUCGCACCCCAGUGGAGCCA
rnacentral:tRNA from 1 species